GAUGAACGCUGGCGGCGUGCUUAAUACAUGCAAGUCGAGCGAACAGACGAGGAGCUUGCUCCUCUGACGUUAGCGACGGACGGGUGAGUAACACGUGGAUAACCUACCUAUAAGACUGGGAUAACUUCGGGAAACCGGAGCUAUUACCGGAUAAUAUAUCGAACUGCAUGGUUCAAUAGUGAAAGACGGUUUUGCUGUCACUUAUAGAUGGAUCCGCGCCGCAUUAGCUAGUUGGUAAGGUAACGGCUUUCCAAGGCGCCGAAGGGUAGCCGACCUGAGAGGGUGGUCGGCCACACUGGAAGUGAGACACGGUCCAGACUCCUGCGGGAGGCAGCAGUAGGGAAUCUUCCGCAAAGGGCGAAAGCCUGACGGAGCAACGCCGCGUGAGUGAUGGAGGUCUUCGGAUCGUAAAACUCUGUUAUGAGGGAAGAACAAAUUUGUAAGUAACUAUGCACGUCUUGACGGUACCUAAACAGAAAGCCACGGCUAACUACGUG
rnacentral:rRNA from 1 species